rnacentral:rRNA from 1 species
CUACGGGGUGCAGCAGUGGGGAAUAUUGGACAAUGGGGGAAACCCUGAUCCAGCAAUGCCGCGUGUGUGAAGAAGGCCUGCGGGUUGUAAAGCACUUUCGGUUGGGAGGACUGCUUCUAGCACUAAUAUUGUUGGAAGUUGACGUUACCUUCAGAAGAAGCACCGGCUAACUCCGUGCCAGCAGCCGCGGUAAUACGGAGGGUGGCAAGCGUUAAUCGGAAUUACUGGGCGUAAAGCGCGCGUAGGCGGCUAGAUCAGUCGGGUGUGAAAGCCCCGGGCUUAACCUGGGAACUGCAUCCGAUAAUGUCUAGGUGGAGUACAGGAGAGGAGAGUGGAAUUCCACAUGUAGCGGUGAAAUGCGUAGAUAUGUGGAGGAACACCAACGGCGAAGGCAGCUCUCUGGCCUGAUACUGACGCUGAGGUACGAAAGCGUGGGGAGCAAACAGGAUUAGAUACCCCAGUAGUC